GAUGAACGCUGGCGGCGUGCCUAAUACAUGCAAGUCGAGCGAACAGACGAGGAGCUUGCUCCUCUGACGUUAGCGGCGGACGGGUGAGUAACACGUGGAUAACCUACCUAUAAGACUGGGAUAACUUCGGGAAACCGGAGCUAAUACCGGAUAAUAUAUUGAACCGCAUGGUUCAAUAGUGAAAGACGGUUUUGCUGUCACUUAUAGAUGGAUCCGCGCCGCAUUAGCUAGUUGGUAAGGUAACGGCUUACCAAGGCAACGAUGCGUAGCCGACCUGAGAGGGUGAUCGGCCACACUGGAACUGAGACACGGUCCAGACUCCUACGGGAGGCAGUAGUAGGGAAUCUUCCGCAAUGGGCGAAAGCCUGACGGAGCAACGCCGCGUGAGUGAUGAAGGUCUUCGGAUCGUAAAACUCUGUUAUAGGGAAGAACAAAUGUGUAAGUAACUAUGCACGUCUUGACGGUACCUAAUCAGAAAGCCACGGCUAACUACGUG
rnacentral:rRNA from 1 species